UACAGAGGUGGCAAGCGUUGUUCGGAAUUACUGGGCGUAAAGGGCUCGUAGGCGGCCAACUAAGUCAGACGUGAAAUCCCCAGGCUCAACCUGGGAACUGCGUCUGAUACUGGAUGGCUUGAAUUCGGGGAGAGGGAUGCAGAAUUCCAGGUGUAGCGGUGAAAUGCGUAGAUAUCUGGAGGAAUACCGGUGGCGAAGGCGGCAUCCUGGACCGACAUUGACGCUGAUGAGCGAAAGCUAGGGAGCAACGGG
rnacentral:rRNA from 1 species